rnacentral:rRNA from 1 species
AUUGAACGCUGGCGGCAUGCCUUACACAUGCAAGUCGAACGGCAGCACGGGUGCUUGCACCUGGUGGCGAGUGGCGAACGGGUGAGUAAUACAUCGGAACAUGUCCUGUAGUGGGGGAUAGCCCGGCGAAAGCCGGAUUAAUACCGCAUACGAUCUACGGAUGAAAGCGGGGGGCCUUCGGGCCUCGCGCUAUAGGGUUGGCCGAUGGCUGAUUAGCUAGUUGGUGGGGGAAAGGCCUACCAAGGCGACGAUCAGUAACCGGUCUGAGCGGACGACCAGCCACACUGGGGCUGAGACACGGCCCAGACUCCUACGGGAGGCCGCAGUGGGGAAUUUUGGACAAUGGGCGAAAGCCUGAUCCAGCAAUGCCGCGUGUGUGAAGAAGGCCUUCGGGUUGUAAAGCACUUUUGUCCGGAAAGAAAUCCUUGGCCCUAAUACGGUCGGGGGAUGACGGUACCGGAAGAAUAAGCACCGGCUAACUACGUG